UUGUGGGAAAGAUACGUUUGAACCGACUAUUCCAAUCUUGACUAUGGGAAGAAGAAUGGUAUAGUUAGAGUAACUAAAAUGACGAGAGCAGAGCUCUGUAGACUCCAAAAUUCUGGACAAUAGAAUUGCAGGUGCCCAUUACCACUUGUACUGGAAAAAGGGGGGGGGAACAAGAUGAAUUUUGCAGCUCCACGUGCCAUUCAGCUACCAUGAAAACGAGAGGAAAGAAUCUUAUAACAUGUAGGAAAUAAAAGGAGAAUUGAAGAGAGGUUGAAGAAACAAAAGAGAAUUUGAAGAAUAAGAAGUAGAUUUAAGAGAAAAGUAGUUUGAAGGAAAAGGUGUCCCAGUUUGUCUUCUAGUGCACCUGAAUAUAAUUCAGCUGGAAUUGGUUGUAUCAUCAAGCUUAAUGGGAUGCUUCAUGAUUAUGGCCCGCUAUGAACUGAUCUAGGUUUAUCUUCACUCCUUGAUCCGUUCCCUGCUUCAUAACCUGAUCCAUCUUCUCCUCAUUAAUCAAAAGACUGCCGGUUGCUUCAUAAUCUUUCUUUUAACUAAAUAACUCCAUUUCCCACUUUCCGAAUUCUGAUUUUUCAAUUCCCCAAAUUACUCCAAAUCCCUAACCCUUCUCUGUUCUUUCCCAAUUCCUUCCCUUCAACCCCUAAAUCAUCUUCCAUCAUGACAGACAAGUAUAAAUUAACUGGUUAUGUUUGGAUUUUCACCACAUUUGGCUUAAUUUCUGAAACUUGUAUUGCCCGGGUUAACUCUUCUUAGAAGGUAAGAAGUGUGCCUAGUACUCGCCUUUUACUUUAGUUUUUCCAAGGAUCAAUGGUUCAAUGUUUAUGGAACACAUUCUCCCCCCCCCCCCCAAA